UCUUAAUAAGCUGAUAAGCUAAAUUUGAUAGCAUUUGACCUGAAAUGUGGAAAACUAUCUGUGCUAACAUUCAGAUUUAUUACUGCUGCUAGCUCACAGAUGUCCUCUAUCAAAAGACAAAUAUGAAUGCUGUAAAAGUCUGGCCAGUGACUAGGAAUGCUUUGCAUUGUCAGAGACACAACUCUUUCAUUUGGUGCAAAUCUCUUUGAUAGGAACAAAGGAUAUCUUUUUAGGAAACACGUCUUUAACUUGAACUUCUGCAAGGGCUGGUGUUUUGUGAAUGCCUGUUCUCAUUAUUCCUUUAAUAAUGUCACCUCUUCACAAUCAGGAAUGUUUCAGUGCUGUUGGUGCUGCAAACAGUCUCUUUCCCAAACCAAAAAUUCACUCCCUCCUUGUGCCACCUUAAUUGCUUUAACAGCCCAGCUGUCUCUAAUAGGGACAAAUGGUCAGUUUACUUGGGCAGAUGGCAAGCAAGCUUGCUGGAGGGUUUGAGGUCAUGAAGACUGGCUGUCUUAAAGGUUGUAAAUACCCAUGCUGGAUGGUAUUUCCAGGCUGUUGAAGGCUUUGGAGUCUCAUCCUGUGGCUAUACCUGCCCAGCAGAGUGAGCCCAUUUCUACAUAGAGCUCUUUCAUCUAAUUCUGUUGAAAAUGUGAGAUAGCUUCAAUUUGCUGUAAAUGAAGAUGGAUGUGAAAACCCAUUCGCCUCAAUAAUGCCAGAACUGCCAGCCCAUGACUGCUGAGAAGAAAUGAAUCUAUUCUGCUGAAACUUAGUGAAUUCAGAUGUUUACUGGACACCAAAUCACUGCAGGAUGACAAUGCUAAAGGACAGAAAUGCUUUUUUUCAGGCACUGGUUUUCAAAGCUUUUCAAGGUACAGUCCCUUUCUCAUUGAUCUCUGAAGGUUUAAAUAGUGGUUACAAUUUCAAGAUUAUUUGUCAUCUCUAACACCUCAGAACCUUUUUUGAAUCCCAUUGUGAUCUGUAGUUCGAUAAAAUAAUACUUUACAAAGCAAUCUCUUGGUGAGCAGCUUCCACCAGAGAUUUCUGUGAUUAAGAAAUAGCUCCUUGACAAUAGUUUCUUCGUUUUUGAAUUUCUCAAACCUUUUCCUCGGAGCAACCUAGAGAGCUGAGCAUCACAAAGACUAUAAUACAUAAUUUAAGCUAUUAUUCUCUCGACUGAAUGGUGAUGUAGAACUCAGUAAGAGAUUUAAUUUUUUAGUUUAUUGCUGCCUGCACGAAAGCUUUCCUUGCUGCAAAGAGAAGACAAUUAGAUUCCUGAGGGGCACAGUAAUUUGCAAUUGUAUUCAUUUGUAAAACAGAAACAAAUGUCAACCCUUGUACAGCAAAAAGGGCAUGGGGCCCUCAUAAUGGAGCAAAAAAUAAUAAACCUUGUAGCUUGCUAAUAACUUCAUUUAUGUGCUUAAACAAGGCAAGAAGGAUGCUUUUUCAAGCAGUGUCCCUGUAAGAAAUUGCUGAACUUGGACUACACUGAUAGAGAAGGCUUUAUAAACCUCUUGUCAUGUUCUUAGAAUGAUGUACUAGUGCUAGAAAUGUGAAGUACUAACACCAACAAUACCAAAGCAACAUUCUAUUGAACAUUCCACUGUGCAGCACAAGACAGCUGGCACAUAAUUCACUGAGGACUACAUUGAUAGGAGCAGAUAAAAGAAUGUAUUUGAGUUCAGGUUGUGCCAAGGUUUAUUUUCCUAAGAUGGGAGUUUUGAUAUCUGUUAUCUCUCCAUUGUGCCAAACAAAAAUCCUGGAUACUUGCUUUUUACAAAGGGCUGCCUGGGUUCUGUGAUAGAAUGUAUUAAACUUCAU